rnacentral:rRNA from 1 species
AGAGUUUGAUCCUGGCUCAGAUUGAACGCUGGCGGCAUGCUUUACACAUGCAAGUCGAACGGCAGCGGGGGCUUCGGCCUGCCGGCGAGUGGCGAACGGGUGAGUAAUGCAUCGGAACGUGCCCAGUCAUGGGGGAUAACUACGCGAAAGCGUAGCUAAUACCGCAUACGCCCUGAGGGGGAAAGCGGGGGAUCGCAAGACCUCGCGUGAUUGGAGCGGCCGAUGUCGGAUUAGCUAGUUGGUGGGGUAAAGGCCUACCAAGGCGACGAUCCGUAGCGGGUCUGAGAGGAUGAUCCGCCACACUGGGACUGAGACACGGCCCAGACUCCUACGGGAGGCAGCAGUGGGGAAUUUUGGACAAUGGGGGCAACCCUGAUCCAGCCAUGCCGCGUGAGUGAAGAAGGCCUUCGGG